ensembl:lncRNA
AUGAGCAAGUCCAGUUCGCUGAAAAUCAAGCAUUUGUUCAAACACAAGUCACUGGAUAAGGAGAAUGAGAUUGAUGCAGAGAGGAAGAAGUAUGCUCGCUCGCAGUCUCUCCGAGAUGUGGCGGUGGCACCGGGCAGUCCGCCGGACCUGCCCCCCACCUCACCGUCCGGUCCGGUACCAGUGGAGGGCAUUCAGGACGUGGAGCUGCGGCCUGGGUCGACCCUCAAAAGAAUCCUGAGCUUUAAGAAAAAAAAGAAGAAAUCAAAGCACGCCGAAUCAAGCGAAUUAUUUUUCCAUGAAACCGAUGAUUCGGAGACCAAGAGUCAAUUGAACUUUGACCAGAUGAGCGUGACUACAGAAUGCAGCUACAUGACAGAGUCGGACUGGGGCCUUAACAGCGAGUCGGCGUCAGUAAUGAGCUUCGACAUGGCUCAGCCCAACAGCCCCUCCUCGCCUUCCAAACGCUACAAGGUACGGCUACGAACUACGGCCCCCCCGCACCAUAGACUAUGACCGUACGGCUGUACGCAAUGCUAAUGUUGGGGUCAGAUUCCUGGCGUUUUCUCUGAUUGUAAUAGUAUUAGGUUGCUGACAAAGUCUUUUGAGGACUUUUGUACAAUUCUCUGGUGUCACUGAGGCUAACAUUUAAACCAUUGCAAGUUGGCUUGAUAAGUGUUGAACAGGGGUUGUUGUCUACAGAUGUUGUUCAAAUAUGUCAUGAAUUGUAAAGCUCAGAAACUGAAGUGAUCCAAUCACAGCAUAAUUCCAAUGCAGAUGUGGCAACGUAAAAUGUAAUUUGACAAUUACAUUGAUAAAAUGAUCACUAUGGAAAAAAGUGUAACUCAUGGUCUAGUAGACAUAAACUACAGGAAGUCUGUGUUGCUGUGUUUAAAGCACUCAAACUGCCCCCUUUUUAUGCACCUUGUCAUGUAUGUUGUUUCUAAGCUUCUGUCUUCCUAGACACUUCCUCUGUAGUUCAAACUCUGAUGCGCAGAUGCGUGUAGGAAUCCUUUAUUUUUUUAUGAAUGCUGUCUGUGAUACCACAUAAUGUUUCUCAUAAUGCUUGUCAAGCCAAUUGAGUUCUUUACUUUAUUGGAAAUAUUCUAACCUGUUAUUCAAAGCCGUUCAGGCUAGAAACAUCAACAAGUUGCACAUUACAAAAGAAUCACAAACAUGUCCACCGACUUUUACAGUUGUUAUCGCACUCCUUUUGUUUUCUGAUUUCCAUACAAAUCUUCAGGUGUAGUGCACGUGUAGAUUUUCACCACAAACCAGCUUGAGGUGGAGAGUUAGGGAAUUAAUGAGUCAGCCAAUUAUACAGGAGGAUGAUUAGGGGGCCAGAUUGAAUCAGCCUGGUUGGGCCAGGACACCGGGGAAACCCCUAUUCUUUGUGAUAAGUGCCCUGGGAUCUUUUUUGACCUCAGUGAGUCAGGACCUCGGUUUUACGUCUCUUCUGAAGGACGGAAAAUUAAAAAAUAGAUUUGAAUCAAAGCAUAAGCAUCUAAAUGGGUACCAGCUGAGGCUUGGGUGUGUGCAGGCACGUUUGUAUUUAUGUUUAUAUUGUCUUUAUUUUACAGCUGUUACCACCAUCCCAGCCGGCAUAAUAAUUAAAGCAUAAAAAGGUUAAACAUUAACAUUAUGUCCAGGAAUAAGCUCAAUAGUCGGACCAUUGCACUUAGAGCAUUCAGUUGUAGCAAACUUACUUAGACCUCCACAUCAACAAAAACCAAUGGACUCUCAACAAUAACCAAUGGACUACUAACGGUAUGUUCUUAUUGCGUUUCACAUUGCAAUGACCGCCUCCAUUUUUUUUGAAAAAGACGAGCAUUAGAAUCUUUAUUAUAGUUAGUUAGUUAGUUAUUCUUCUACUAGAAGUAUUUUUUUUGGUCAUUGUGUAGUUAAUAAUAUAUAAUGAUGGUGAAAUUAUUUGUCAUCAUCGUGAGACAUUGUUGUGUUUCUAAUGUGAGACGUGACAAAACUACGUUUUGGUUAGCCUAAGUUAAACUUUACAUUCACGUUGAUUUAGGAGUCCUCUCAAUAUGGCGGAGUACCAACAAACAAAAUCCCAUGAUGCAAUAUGUUGUACAAGCCUUGGUAAAUAUGACCCGAGGCCUUGUUUUUUGUGUUACUUAUGUUUCUCUGUCACAAAAACAACAAAACGAAACAAGGGCAGAACAGGGUGGGAAGGUGAGGUGUGUCGGAGGGGUUAUUGGGGAUUAAGGGGGGCGGGGUGGGUAUGCAGUUACGCUCUGUUUAGAAAUGAACUGGAAAGCCCCGGCACGCGCUGUGUGUGUGUGUUGUUUGCUGACUGAAUACCCACCGUAGGUACAGUCAGACAAACAUUUUACUAUCAAAGCAGGAAGAUCCCGCCCAGAUUUCAAGACUGCUUUGGAUAUAUAUAAAUAUAAAAAAUGGCUAUGGUAUGAGCUCUUUGUUUAAGAAAGUAUCCUUUUGCCAUCAGCCCUUUUUCAAACCAAUAGGAUACGAUACAAACGUAACAAUCUAUAAUUCUCCGCAGUACUGUAAUCAAUACACACCUACGCAUAUUUCUGCGAUAAGUCAACUGAGAUCAGCUGGUUGCCAGGUGAUUCACACGGUAUAGGAGAUGAAUGGCCGCAUUGACUCCUGCUUUACUUUUAGCAUCAGGCAGGGUGCGGCCAUUGUGCCCGGGCCCAUCCACACCCUCACAUUAUCACCGGGUCGUCAAGUCAUGUGUCUGACAUGCGCUCCCGUGAGGUGUUCUCUCACAUCCGCGCUGCGAAUGCAAAUGGCCCCAUGCCCUGGAGGGACGGUGUCCACCUAAAACCAGACCCAGGCUUUACAGGGAACAGAUCCCAGACAAACACGACCUGCUGGCUUCCAGUCGCUGCUCGGUGGGCGUUCUGCGGGAGUGAGGAAAGCGGUCUUUUACUUCUUGUGGAAUAUGGUAUUCAAGAGUUGGACACUGGCUCCCUUUUUUUUUUAGCAGCCGGUCUUGACAUUAUCUGAUUCUAAAGGCUGUGAUUAGAUAACCAUUAACCUACCUCUCCUGCUGUCGGAUUUCAUUUUGUAUUUAUUUAUUUAUUAACCUAUGUUGCCGGUAAAGAGGACGUUUGGAUCUACUGUAGUUCUCAGACAGGUUCGGAUCAGAUUACAAUUAGAUUCCGGAGAGCUGACAUGGUAUGUUACUUCUGUGUUUUUCAUAUUUGCGAGAGUAUGUGCGUCUCGUUCAAACGUGUGCCGGCUAGACUGUAGCAACAGACCGCCAGGACUUCUCUGUUUCAACAAAGAAUUGGAUUUCUUGCUUCCAACUAUUCCAUAGGAUUUGGGGGGAUUUUCAUUGUGGAUUAUCUUCCUUCUCUUUGUGAGAUUGUAAAUCACCUGGUUUAAUUGUGUAAUGCUAAAAAAUUUGACUUUGAAAAAGUCAAUAUUUGAAAAUAAUAUCAACAUUGUAAAUAGUGAGCUCAAGUUUCAGCCGUUCUAAAAGUAGAAGUACAGGCCUCUGUUCAAACCUUAUUAUCAUAUUGCUAUGUAAAAAGCUGUAAUACAUUUACAAAUACAUUUACAUUUAUCAUUCAGCACACACUUUGAUCCAGAAGACUGAAUACCUGAGACUGAGAACAUUAAAAUAAUUCUCUCAACUAUGGGAAUAACUACAACAAAAAUUUAGUGUGCAGCACGAACAAGUUAAAAAAACAACAACAACAGGGUGGAUUGUGUCACAAAACGCACCGCAAAAACGUAUUGUUGUUGGUACUUAACAAUUACAUCUUGGAGAUACAGAGCAUUUUAUUUAGAGGAUGUGGAGGAAUACUGCAGAUCCUUGUUAGGUCGUUCCGCUAUCAAGGUUCUGCCCAUCAGAAGACCUGGUUCCAUGCAGUGUAGGCAGCACCGGGCGCAGUUUAACACUCGACAGGAGGAACGGAUCAGAGAUGUGCUGGGGUUUGGGUGCAGGUCUUGAGCCCACCAGCAUCGAGGGUUUGAAGUUGAUGCUAGCAGCUGCAGGAAGAAGCCUGUUUGGCAUGACAUGUGCUAGUUAGGUUCAACACCAUCCGCGCUGCAGUGUUCCGCAUCCUAUGCAGGUGUGGAGCUGCGAACACUAUAACUGAACUCCACCCCCUUGGCUCAAAUUAUUCCUCUUUUACCCUCCUUCAUACUUAUUUUGGGCAUUUCUUUCAAGAAGUUACAAAAAAUUACUAUGGCCGCAAGUCGUGCGUAUUACCUUAUUCUCAUAAAGAAUAUAGAUCAAUCCAUUGUGUUCUGCUGUCUGUUUGAGCAGGACCAGAAUCAAACAGCCCUGCCAGUCUGACCAGUGGUCGUCUGAAUAUCAGCAGCGUGUUCUCUAACCCCUGCCUCUCUGCUGUCUUCCUUCUUGCAGAAUCCAGAAGAUAAGAAGGGUGUGUUUGGCCGCCUCAGCAACUUCUUCAGCCCCCGCAAGAAGAAGAGCCAGAGCAAGCAGCCUGGCGACGGCGAGAGCACCCCGACCUCCCCGACGUCCCCGCGCUCCCCGCAGAGCCCCCUGCAGGAGGACUGGCUGAAGACGCCCACCCCGUCACGGCGGGAUGACGAAGCCCCCCGGCGGAAACCGGCGUUGAAGCAGCAUCUGGCUCGGGUCUCCCUGGACCUCACCGGCAGCCGGUCCACUCUGGCGUUCGACGAAGACGGGGGAGGGGUCCCGUUUGCCGACAGCGACAGCAGCGGCCGAGGCAGCGUGAGGGAGGUGCACGUGUGCCGGGUGAGCAGCAGCAGCGUCGCGCAGCAGGGAUCCGGGGACGCCACCCCCAUCCCCGGGGCCCAUGUCUCGUUCCUGGACACGGGGU